rnacentral:rRNA from 1 species
GGCCUUGACAUACUAAGAACUUUCCAGAGAUGGAUUGGUGCCUUCGGGAACUUAGAUACAGGUGCUGCAUGGCUGUCGUCAGCUCGUGUCGUGAGAUGUUGGGUUAAGUCCCGCAACGAGCGCAACCCUUUUCCUUAUUUGCCAGCGGGUAAUGCCGGGAACUUUAAGGAUACUGCCAGUGACAAACUGGAGGAAGGCGGGGACGACGUCAAGUCAUCAUGGCCCUUACGGCCAGGGCUACACACGUGCUACAAUGGUCGGUACAAAGGGUUGCUACCUCGCGAGAGGAUGCUAAUCUCAAAAAGCCGAUCGUAGUCCGGAUCGCAGUCUGCAACUCGACUGCGUGAAGUCGGAAUCGCUAGUAAUCGCGGAUCAGAAUGCCGCGGUGAAUACGUUCCCGGGCCUUGUACACACCGCCCGUCACACCAUGGGAGUUUGUUGCACCAGAAGUAGGUAGUCUAACCGCAAGGAGGACGCUUACCACGGUGUGGCCGAUGACUGGGGUGAAGUCGUAACAAGGUAAGCGUAGAUGA